UAAUCAGACAUCCAGUUCUAGUGAAGUUUAUAUUUAGACCUUGGUCACACAGUUGACUGAUGCUUAUUAGAUUAGCAGUUAAUCCCUUAACAAGUAGGACAUUGUCAAGGUCAGGAACUCCAGGGAAAUUAAGCUUACCAAUCCCCUUGAUUUCACCCUUUGCUCCAUCACCAAAGGUUACAUAACUUAUGGCAUGAGGAUGAAGGCCAAUUAGCAAGUUUUUGUUUCCAGUCAUGUGUCU
rnacentral:lncRNA from 1 species